rnacentral:rRNA from 1 species
CGCGCAGGCGGCCGAUCAAGUCAGGCGUGAAAGCCCCGGGCUUAACCUGGGAAUUGCGCUUGGGACUGAUGGGCUUGAGUUCGGGAGAGGAGAGUGGAAUUCCCAGUGUAGAGGUGAAAUUCGUAGAUAUUGGGAAGAACACCGGUGGCGAAGGCGGCUCUCUGGACCGAUACUGACGCUGAGGCGCGAAAGCGUGGGGAGCAAACAGGAUUAGAUACCCUGGUAGUCCACGCUGUAAACGAUGUGCGCUAGACGUUGGGAGGCGUAGCCUUCCGGUGUCGCAGCUAACGCUUUAAGCGCACCGCCUGGGGAGUACGGCCGCAAGGUUAAA